rnacentral:rRNA from 3 species
UGACUGCGUACCUUUUGUAUAAUGGGUCAGCGACUUAUAUUCUGUAGCAAGGUUAACCGAAUAGGGGAGCCGGAGGGAAACCGAGUCUUAACCGGGCGUUAAGUUGCAGGGUAUAGACCCGAAACCCGGUGAUCUAGCCAUGGGCAGGUUGAAGGUUGGGUAACACUAACUGGAGGACCGAACCGACUAAUGUUGAAAAAUUAGCGGAUGACCUGUGGCUGGGGGUGAAAGGCCAAUCAAACCGGGAGAUAGCUGGUUCUCCCCGAAAGCUAUUUAGGUAGCGCCUCGUGAAUUCAUCUCCGGGGGUAGAGCACUGUUUCGGCUAGGGGGCCAUCCCGGCUUACCAACCCGAUGCAAACUGCGAAUACCGGAGAAUGUUAUCACGGGAGACACACGGCGGGUGCUAACGUCCGUCGUGAAGAGGGAAACAACCCAGACCGCCAGCUAAGGUCCCAAAGUCAUGGUUAAGUGGGAAACGAUGUGGGAAGGCCCAGACAGCCAGGAUGUUGGCUUAGAAGCAGCCAUCAUUUAAAGAAAGCGUAAUAGCUCACUGGUCGAGUCGGCCUGCGCGGAAGAUGUAACGGGGCUAAACCAUGCACCGAAGCUGCGGCAGCGACACUGUGUGUUGUUGGGUAGGGGAGCGUUCUGUAAGCCUGCGAAGGUGGCCUGUGAGGGUUGCUGGAGGUAUCAGAAGUGCGAAUGCUGACAUAAGUAACGAUAAAGCGGGUGAAAAGCCCGCUCGCCGGAAGACCAAGGGUUCCUGUCCAACGUUAAUCGGGGCAGGGUGAGUCGACCCCUAAGGCGAGGCCGAAAGGCGUAGUCGAUGGGAAACGGGUUAAUAUUCCCGUACUUGGUGUUACUGCGAAGGGGGGACGGAGAAGGCUAUGUUGGCCGGGCGACGGUUGUCCCGGUUUAAGCGUGUAGGUGUGUGUUCCAGGUAAAUCCGGUUCACUUUAACACUGAGGCGUGACGACGAGGCACUACGGUGCUGAAGCAACAAAUGCCCUGCUUCCAGGAAAAGCCUCUAAGCAUCAGGUAACAUCAAAUCGUACCCCAAACCGACACAGGUGGUCAGGUAGAGAAUACCAAGGCGCUUGAGAGAACUCGGGUGAAGGAACUAGGCAAAAUGGUGCCGUAACUUCGGGAGAAGGCACGCUGACACGUAGGUGAAGUGAUUUACUCAUGGAGCUGAAGUCAGUCGAAGAUACCAGCUGGCUGCAACUGUUUAUUAAAAACACAGCACUGUGCAAACACGAAAGUGGACGUAUACGGUGUGACGCCUGCCCGGUGCCGGAAGGUUAAUUGAUGGGGUCAGCGCAAGCGAAGCUCCUGAUCGAAGCCCCGGUAAACGGCGGCCGUAACUAUAACGGUCCUAAGGUAGCGAAAUUCCUUGUCGGGUAAGUUCCGACCUGCACGAAUGGCGUAAUGAUGGCCAGGCUGUCUCCACCCGAGACUCAGUGAAAUUGAACUCGCUGUGAAGAUGCAGUGUACCCGCGGCAAGACGGAAAGACCCCGUGAACCUUUACUAUAGCUUGACACUGAACAUUGAGCCUUGAUGUGUAGGAUAGGUGGGAGGCUUUGAAGUGUGGACGCCAGUCUGCAUGGAGCCGACCUUGAAAUACCACCCUUUAAUGUUUGAUGUUCUAACGUGGACCCGUUACCCGGGUUGCGGACAGUGUCUGGUGGGUAGUUUGACUGGGGCGGUCUCCUCCUAAAGAGUAACGGAGGAGCACGAAGGUUGGCUAAUCCUGGUCGGACAUCAGGAGGUUAGUGCAAUGGCAUAAGCCAGCUUGACUGCGAGCGUGACGGCGCGAGCAGGUGCGAAAGCAGGUCAUAGUGAUCCGGUGGUUCUGAAUGGAAGGGCCAUCGCUCAACGGAUAAAAGGUACUCCGGGGAUAACAGGCUGAUACCGCCCAAGAGUUCAUAUCGACGGCGGUGUUUGGCACCUCGAUGUCGGCUCAUCACAUCCUGGGGCUGAAGUAGGUCCCAAGGGUAUGGCUGUUCGCCAUUUAAAGUGGUACGCGAGCUGGGUUUAGAACGUCGUGAGACAGUUCGGUCCCUAUCUGCCGUGGGCGCUGGAGAACUGAGGGGGGCUGCUCCUAGUACGAGAGGACCGGAGUGGACGCAUCACUGGUGUUCGGGUUGUCAUGCCAAUGGCACUGCCCGGUAGCUAAAUGCGGAAGAGAUAAGUGCUGAAAGCAUCUAAGCACGAAACUUGCCCCGAGAUGAGUUCU